rnacentral:rRNA from 1 species
CAAUAGCGUAUAUUAAAGUUGUUGCAGUUAAAAAGCUCGUAGUUGGAUUUCUGGUGGGAGCGAUCGGUCUGGCGCUUAGCGCGAGUACUUGCAUCGUCUCCGGCCAUCCUUGGGGAAAGUCUGUCUGGCAUUAAGUUGUCGGGCAGAGGAUCCUCAUCGUUUACUGUGAAAAAAUUAGAGUGUUCAAAGCAGGCUUAUGCCGUUGAAUAUAUUAGCAUGGAAUAAUAAGAUAGGACUUUGGUACUAUUUUGUUGGUUUGCGCACCAAAGUAAUGAUUAAUAGUGACAGUUGGGGGUAUUCGUAUUCCGUUGUCAGAGGUGAAAUUCUUGGAUUUACGGAAGACGAACUACUGCGAAAGCAUUUACCAAGGAUGUUUUCAUUAA